rnacentral:rRNA from 1 species
GUCUACAGCCAUACCACCCUGAACAUGUCUGAUCUGGGAAGCUAAGCAGGGUCGGGCCUGGUUAGUACUUGGAUGAAAGAAGACCAUGGUUGAGAAGCUUCAUGACCCUGUUCAUU